rnacentral:tRNA from 1 species
UAAGGUCAGCUAAUUAAGCUAUCGGGCCCAUACCCCS